AGGAGCUGUUUGAAAAUGCUAGGUGGUAGAAUUUAAUUGGAGUAGCAACUGUUCAAAAUUAAGAUUAAAAGGACCAGUCAGUCAACGUGGAUUUCGUGACACCUUAAAAAUAACGUUUCAGGUUUGAUUAAUGCUGCAAGAAGUUUGCACAUUUCUCUCCUUUGCUGAUAGGGCCUGCGUGCUGAUAGUUGAUUCAGUGAAUAUAUGUAGCAGUGAUAGCUCAUGGGCUCCAGAGGUCAGAUAUCUUAUUCUCUAGGCUGAAACCCUUGUUGCUUUAAGGAAACAGGAUUUUAAUAGGAAUCACAUGCAGAUUGACUACAGGGAGCCAAGCGGUAGUGGAAGAAGCAAAGUUGGCGGUUUUGGAGACGGACGUCUAUCUAUCCACAGUGGGACAAAAAUGAAGGUUAUUGAAAAGAAUCAUGCUUGGUGGAAGAAGUAAUUACAUUUUUUUUUCAAAUCUCAGAGGAAUAAUGCUUUUAUAUUUCCUGCGAUGACCCAAUUUGCACUACGAUAUGCUCCCUUAAAUGUGAUUUAAACAGAAGAGAGGACCACCCCGCCAACCAAAUGUCCAGGUCCUAUUCCAUGGAACCUAUGAACAGGUUGUCCCACAUUGCAAAAGGGACUUCACAGAUGUCGAAACAGGAGUGAUAAGGGGGAACUGAGGACUAAAUUUUUCUAAAGGUCUUCCUAAGGUUCCUGGAAGAAGUCACGUUUAUAAGCCAGAACUUACAUAUCUUUCUGCUGUCCCAAAAUUUUUAAACAAAACUACUCUUCCUUAACCAACUGCAAAUCAGAAAAUCUUGGAAUCUACUUAUGACCUGUAAGCCUCCGCUUCAAGAUACCCCACCUUUUUAGACCAAAGCAAUGACUAACCUCCAUGUAUUGAGGUAUGAUUUUGCCUGUAACUUCUGCCUUCUUGAAAGUUACCCAUACCUUUAAAGACCCUUGCUUGCAAGCCACUGAGAAGAUGGGUCUAAAGUGUGCAUUGCCCCAUUCUCCUUGCCUGGUUCCCUGCAAAUAAAUGCCCUGCUUUCUGCAGUGGCAAACCUCA
rnacentral:lncRNA from 1 species